GGGGGAAGAGGAAAAUGGGGUGGUGGUGGGGGUGUAACCCCCUUUGGAAGAGGAAAAAAGAAAAAUAGGCGGGGCCGGGCGGGCUAGCAAGGGUUGUGGAUGGGAACCGCGCAGCCGAAGAAGAGCUGGGGGCGGUGGCGUUGAAGCGGGGGCUCGAAGGAUAGUGUCUGCUACCCGACCCCAGGGUCUUCCGAGGAGGACUCGGGGCCCUCUAGAGGCCCGUGAUGCGGCCCCGUCCCGCGCCCUUCCUGCCUCUUGUUCUUCUGCUGGCUUCCAGCCCCCGCCCUUCUGAUUCCUGACCUAAAGUUCAACCCCGGGAGCCUGGAGAAUACAGACUCCCCUCCCUCCCCGCCCCUGCCCUGUACUUCAGGCUUGAAAAAGGAAAAAGCCCCACUUUUGCCCCGUCACUAGAAACUCGGCCAUCUGAGUCAGCCGAGCCAAGUGACGUUAGGCCGAUCCGGGCUCCUGGCUAGCAGAGUGGAGACGCUGCCACGAAACCCGUACCUGCGGCUAAGAGCAGGUCUUUUCCAGGUGGUCACCGGAAAAAUCUCCCGGAAAUCAUGGUCUCUCCCGGCUACGGUCCUCAGGGAGGAGCGAGCUCCCGAGUGGCAAUUGAGCACCAGGCUGCAAGCCAGGUGGCGUCUCAGCGUCCUUAGCGAACCCUAUCUAGAAUCUCCUCCUAAUGUCCCGGACCCGCGGGGCCAUUCUCUGGGGGAGUCGGCCGUGGCAGAAGAAAAGCUCCACCUAAAGAUGGUCUGGAGAUUGCAUCAGGUACACCUGAAGGACUUCUGGUGGAUAGAGGCUCCCAGAAGCCCAUGUGGCUCCCUGCUUCCCACGCAUCCUCCCGCCCCAACCAUCUCCCUCACGUCCACCCGGCCAGGUACAUUAGGUGGACCUGCACCAUAGCCCUGGCUGUGGCAGCCUCAGGCAAGACCUGAGUCUGGAUCCAGGAAGGAUCCCUGUGGGGGAAGUGAAGGGAGAGAGUCUGGGCUCCUGGGAGGCUAUUCCACCCUCAGUACCAGAACUUGCUGAGCACUGGGGUGAGAAAGAAGGAGCUUGAUUUGCCCAGACACUUCUUUCUCCCUGGGAUCCCCUGCUCUUCUUCCCCUGUCAGGGACAGUGUUAGAAGAAACCACUUAGGACUCAUAAGGAGCAAUAUCACUUAAUAUGCUUUCUAAAAUCCUCAAAACCUGAGACAAUAUUGCUGCAAGGAGACUUUAGUUCCUGUCUUUUAGAAUUAUUUGAUAUAGAUUCUCCUUAAAAAUAUUUCUUUCUGGGAGUCCAAGUCCAUUUGAAAUGAAGCAAGCAUGCCGGACCCAGGUCUGAUGCUUCAAAUAUUGAAGACCCUAAGUAAUACCUUGUAUAUGCAAGAAAGCUUCGUUGAGUGCUGAGGCUUAAUUUACAAAUAAUAUGGUAUGUGAAAAGACCAAGCCACCAAAGGAUUUCUCUAGAUAGAUAUAGAUCCAUGUAUAUUGAUGAGGUGAAAAUUCAUGAGUUGAUUAACCCCUCCUACUGAAGCGACUUGGAAAAGUUGGAGUUUGGGGGUACUCCCCAGAGUUCAUAUGAAUAACAGCCCACAUAUUUCAGACAGGGCUUGGAUGGGCUAAGAAGUUCCUGUGUACCAGGCUCUAGUUAGUUUUUCAUUUCUGCUUCAUUUAGUAAUCAGAACCAGGUGGAUAAAAAAAUAUAUUUCCUUCACUGGAGGAGAGGAAAACAACACAUCUUCAAAGCUUAUUAAUUUUCCUUGGAUUGGUAUUGGGGGAGAUGCAUUCAGG
rnacentral:lncRNA from 9 species